AAUUAAAUGAACACAUACAUUCCUUGAGACAGAAACUUGAAAGUAAGACGACGGUUCUGGCGUAACAAACGAAUUCCUACAGAUGAGAAUGUUCACCACAACCAUUCCCCCAGUCUAUGAAUCUUCCACAAAUACACACCGUUGGACUGAGCAUCUGGACAUACUCCGUGAAACCAAUGUAUCGAAUUCAGCUUUCUAUCAACUCGAUGAGGAAUCUUUUCAUCUCGCUGAUGAAUCUUUCCAACUCCUUGAGGAAUCAUUCCCAUUUGUUGAUGAUUCUGGGAUGAGAAUGAUUUUCAUUGUCUGUACACUGCUUUUCGGUUUUGGAAUAGUUGGAAACCUAAUAACCGUGCUACUAAUUGUCGUCACGCAACAUCUCCACUCUCCAACCUACGUCACAAUCGCCUGUCUAGCUAUAUCCGACUGCUUGGCCUCCUCCACGCUUUAUGCUAUGUUCUUGAUUUCCUUAUUUUAUUCAUAUUUCCAGGUUUAUUCAAUACGUGUAUUCGAGAUCUUUACUUAUUUGUUUAUGCAUUCUGCAAAUUUUCACAUGGUAUUGCUAUCGUAUAUUCGCUACGUUUUCAUUGUUAAACCUCUAAAGAGUCUAAAAAUUACUUGUACUAAGGUAUUUAAAUUGUCUAUAAUCAUUUGGGUGUUCUCCUUUAUAAUAAGCGGAGUGUACGGAGUGAGACAAGCAUUAUUUUUGUCUGAGGUGAUAUCAAAUGAUUUACGUAAGAAAACUGAAAUUGGUUUUGCUCUGUAUAUAGCUGGGGUACCAUUUGUAUUGGUAAGCUGUUUUCAUAUCGGAAAGAUUUGUCAUUGACGAAAUAAACCAGAAAGAAUGGAUGGAGGAAGGGUUAAAGUAACUAAUUCAAUGUCCAUCAUGUUCUCAAUAAUCAUCAUGGUAUAUCUAAUUACUACAGUGUAUCCUAUGUUGUAUACAAUCAUUCCAUUCAAAUUUAAGUAUCGUCAUGAUUUGUUUCAUUUUUUUCUUCUGAUAAACAAUUGCAUAAACCCUUUCAUAUAUUUUGCAUUUUCUCUCCCAGUUGUAAAAUUGCUCUCCAGAUUAAGAAAUUAUAUGAAUUGAUAGAUUGAUGGAUCAUAGUGUUACUAAAAUAUUUCAGCCAUUUUACGGCGGUUAACUAAUUGAAAUAUGUUUGGUUGUUGGUGCUUUAGUUUCCGUGACGAACCUCUGUGAGCCUCCUAUAUAUCGAAAAUCAGGGAAAUGACCCAAGGGGGUUGUGAUCUUUAACAUGGGACAAGAAAUUAUAUCAAAGAUAUGUAAAAUUGUUUCCGCAAAAUGUUAUGCCGCCCACCAACAUCCAAGGGAAACUAUGAGCAUCUGGAGUUCACGAAGAGACAUCGUCACACCUGGGGAUAUCACUGAUCAAAGCCAUCACAGAAACCUUGCAUCGGAAAAAUACAACAAUCGACGCUUUGUCUCCUGCCUGCCUCUCCAAGAGGGACAAAACAUUUAUUUUAAGUAAGGACACCCUUUCCCUGUCACCCAUGUCAAUCCAAAAGUGUUGAAAGACAUGUGUAUCAAAACAGCGGAAAGCAGACUGCAUUCGUGUCCAUUUUAAAAAACAACAGAUACGACACUAAUUUUUGCGGACCCCUCCAUGUUAUUUCUUUGGGGAACAGCAGUGUCCACCUUGCUGAACAUUUCAACGUUUUCUUAGAAUGAAAGAAUUCAUUUUAUUCAAAUAGAAGAUUUCAUAAUAAACUUAAAUAUAUC